ACGGAGGGUGCAAGCGUUGUUCGGAAUCACUGGGCGUAAAGGGCGCGUAGGCGGUUUGAUAAGUCAGAUGUGAAAGCCCACGGCUUAACCGUGGAAGUGCAUUUGAUACUGUUAGACUUGAGUACCAGAGGGGAAAGUGGAAUUCCCGGUGUAGAGGUGAAAUUCGUAGAUAUCGGGAGGAAUACCGGUGGCGAAGGCGACUUUCUGGCUGGAUACUGACGCUGAGGCGCGAAAGCGUGGGGAGCAAACAGGAUUAGAUACCCUGGUAGUCCACGCUGUAAACGAUGUCAACUAGAUGUAGGGGGUGUUGAUCCCUUCUGUGUCGCAGCUAACGCAUUAAGUUGACCGCCUGGGGAGUACGGUCGCAAGAUUA
rnacentral:rRNA from 1 species